CACAACACACACAACACACACAACACACACAACACACACAACACACACAACACACACAACACACACAACUAGGAAAACUAACAGAUAAGAACAGAAUAUCAAAUCACAUUGAAAGCAACAAAACUGAAAAAAAAAACAAAAUCAAUGAAAAAGAAAAACAACACAAAAAACCCACAAAACGAAAAAAAAAACCCAAGCACAGAGCGCACCCCACACAGCACCCCACAAAAAAAAACAACUAAAAUAGACAAAUGAAAAGAGCCCACACAAAACACAAAUUAAAAUAGAGGAGAAAAACAAACAAAAAAGAGAAAAUCAAAACCAAAAGACAAAAAAAAACCCUCCAUAAGUACACAAAAAACACACAUAUUACAAGGAACAGAAACUGGAUCCGAUGUCAUGGCAAAGCAAAGCUGACAAGUGACUGUGGUGCAGGCCAAAAGCUUACCAUGUGUGCCUGGCAGGAGGAAAGGGCAGCCGCCGGGGAAAGGAUCAGCCAGCCAGCUGCGGAAAAGCCUCAAGGCCAUGGCAAGGAAAGAGGCAAGAUGGCAAGAAGCCAUCUGAGCCACUGAAAAGGAAACAAAAAGAGAAGGCAAGGGAAGCAAAGAAAAUACAUUCAAAAAAUUACAUAGAAAAAUUAAAAAAAAAAAAGAAAGCAAAAAAAAAAAAAAAGAACCCAACACAAGUGGAAAACCAAAUAAAAAAAAGCAAAACAACAAAUGGAAUACAAAGAGAAAGCAAAGACAUCCAAUGCAAUAUCAAGGCAAAGCAAAGGAUUCAAAGAAAGAAAGGGUGAAAAAAAUAGGCUAACUAAAGCAAAAACAAGUCAGUAAGAGGAUAAAAACAGACCAUGACAAAUCAAGCAAAGGGAAUAAAAGAGAACAAGCAAAGUAGAAAUUAAAACAAAAGCAAAGCAAAAUAACUGACAAGCAAUGCAAAGCAAUGGUAGGAAAGCAUUACAAAAGAGCAAACCGGAGCAAAGCAAUGGAUGAAAGAAAAGAACAAAGAGUAAAAUGAACAGGAAUAAUCUAAGGAAAGAAAAAACAUAACGGCAUGAAACAAACAACAAAGAAAAAUCCAACAGAAUUGAAGAAAAGGGCGGAAAGCACAGGUAAGGAAAACAAAGAAAAGGAAGGGAAAUAAAAAAGGAAAGCAAAAAAAUGACAUCCAGAGCAUCAGUACACAAAACUAAAGAGGCAAUAUCAAAAAAGAAAAAUAAGCAAAGCAACC
ensembl:lncRNA